rnacentral:rRNA from 1 species
AGCUCCAAUAGCGUAUAUUAAAGCUGUUGCAGUUAAAAAGCUCGUAGUUGGAUCUCGGGCGAGGGUACUGGUGCGCUUCGCGGCGUCUACUUCGUAUCCUCCGCCUUCUUGCCGCCGCCCACGAUGCACUUCAUUGUGUGACGUGUUGUGUGACGGAAAGUUUACUUUGAAAAAAUUAGAGUGUUCAAAGCAGGCUCUUGCCUGAAUGAUGGUGCAUGGAAUAAUGGAAUAGGACAUUGGUUCUGUUUUGUUGGUCUAAAGAACCGAUGUAAUGAUUAAGAGGGACGGCCGGGGGCAUUCGUAUUACGGUGUUAGAGGUGAAAUUCUUGGAUCGCCGUAAGACGAACUACUGCGAAAGCAUUUGCCAAGAAUGUUUUCAUUA